rnacentral:rRNA from 1 species
UAACGCUGGCGUAUACAGGGGGAUAACACUUAGAAAUAGGUGCUAAUACCGCAUAAGCGCACGGUUCCGCAUGGAACAGUGUGAAAAACUCCGGUGGUAUACGAUGGAUCCGCGUCUGAUUAGCCAGUUGGUGGGGUAACGGCCCACCAAAGCGACGAUCAGUAGCCGGCCUGAGAGGGUGAACGGCCACAUUGGGACUGAGACACGGCCCAAACUCCUACGGGAGGCAGCAGUGGGGAAUAUUGCACAAUGGGGGAAACCCUGAUGCAGCGACGCCGCGUGAGUGAAGAAGUAUUUCGGUACGUAAAGCUCUAUCAGCAGGGAAGAAAAAAAGUCCUUUGGACUUUGGACGGUACCUGACCAAGAAGCCCCGGCUAACUACGUGCCAGCAGCCGCGGUAAUACGUAGGGGGCAAGCGUUAUCCGGAUUUACUGGGUGUAAAGGGAGCGUAGACGGCAGCGCAAGUCUGGAGUGAAAUGCCGGGGCCCAACCCCGGAACUGCUUUGGAAACUGUGCAGCUCGAGUGCAGGAGAGGUAAGCGGAAUUCCUAGUGUAGCGGUGAAAUGCGUAGAUAUUAGGAGGAACACCAGUGGCGAAGGCGGCUUACUGGACUGUAACUGACGUUGAGGCUCGAAAGCGUGGGGAGCAAACAGGAUUAGAUACCCUGGUAGUCCACGCCGUAAACGAUGAUUACUAGGUGUCGGGGGGGCCAGGCCCUCCGGUGCCGGCGCAAACG